GAUAAAUGUGCCUGUGAUGUUAUCGUUGUGUUACUGAUAUAUUUGAUGUCAUUAACAAUUCGUCACUACCUCUGAGGCACAUUUCAU